CACCGCGGUUAUACGAAAGACCCUAGUUUAUAGGCACGGCGUAAAGGGUGGUUAUGGGCCAAAUAAAAUAAAGCCAAAGACCCCCAGAGCCGUCAUACGCCCACGGGGGCACGAAGCCCAAGAACGAAAGUAGCUUUACCAAACAACACCAGACCCCACGAAAGCUGAGAAA
rnacentral:rRNA from 1 species